UACAGAACAGGUGUAGGCUAUUGUAUUGCAUUGCCCUUUCGUGCCGUCAAGGAUGCACGCGGUCACUGAUGUAAUCUGUUUGCACUUUUUAAUGAACAAAAGAGCAAAACCUGGAUUGCGGGCGUGCUGGAGCCUAUCCCAGCUGUCUUUGGGCAGCAGGCGGGGUACACCCUUAACUGGAUGCCAGCCAUUCACAAGGCACACAAAUAACCAUCCGCAAUUACACUCACACCUAGGGAAAAUUUUAGAGUGCCCGACCCUCGAAAAAAGUCUGAAAAAAAAAGUUUGCUGUUGCUGACCCAUGGUAUGCUGCAAUACCACUAUUGACCACACAAUGGCAGACAUCGCUCACCAGCGCCUCCAACCCCGAGACUGCAAUUGCGAAGAAGAAUGUGUCUCGGCCACCACAAAAUCGAGUGUUUCAGACGCGUAUGGUGGCUUAAUUGGUCAAACGGCUGUGGUGCUGCCUUCAGGACCAACUUGACUGUUCACACAGCGGCCAAUUGCUGCAGUAUGAAAGGUGUAACACGAUAGGAUUUUUUCUCAAAAGGCAAAUAUAGGUUACCUGGUGAGCCACCAGCCGUCAUCGGACAUCCUAAGCACCUCCACCACUGAACCAAUGGGCAAAGACACCUC